rnacentral:lncRNA from 1 species
UUGUUUUAACUUUUUCGAAUUAUUUUGUAAUUUUCCCUUUGUCUAGUCUUCAAUUGUAUUAUUAUAAUUAAUGAUGAAAUUAGUUAAUCCUUUUUUAAAAUAUUUAAAAUCAAAGUAUAUGAAUAUCAUAAAUAUGAAUGAAUUUGGAUCUAUAUUUGGAUCACGUGUUGUAAUAGGAUUUGGAUCCGCCCUAAAUUUGGAUCAUUUGGUGAUCCAAAUUUAGAUAUAUGGUUGAAGUUGGCCUUAUAAGCACAAUAAAUUAUUUAAAAUGUACAAGACAAAUUUAUGUAUCUCUCCAAUCCAGAAUAUAUAUAUAUAAUUUUCUUCUUAUGUAUUAUUGGCAUUUUUCAAGUUAUUAGUUUUAGUAUUGUUGAAAUAUAUUUUUGUUUUUAAUUUAUGCAUAGUAUGUUAAAGUCCACUGUUUGUUCUCUGUCCUUAUGUUUAGAGUUGUACAAUCUUUGCAAUAAUUUGUCUCCAGAUUUGCGGCAAUGGCGAACGUGUGCAUUUUUUGAACAACUGGUUACGUCUUUGGCAUGAAAAAGGUUCUGGAACCAGCAAACUCUUGGUGAUAUAUACAGAGCACAAGAUGCUGACUACUCUUAUACAAGUGAAUCAGAUUUUGAGGAUAUAGAGGAAAAAAAUCGUCUGAAAAAUGUUCUCCUAAUUACUGGACCAAUCGGGGUAUGUGGUGACCAGGGACGAAGCCAGCAAACUUCUUUAAGGGGGGCCAAAAAAAAUUUCUUCGGCGCAUUAAAAUUUUUCAUCAGCACCGUAAAAUAUUCUUUAUAAAAUAAAUACAAAAAUACUAAUAAAAAAAGGGUAUUUAUCAAAUAUACAUCUUUUUAACAUUUUAAUUGCAAUAAUACAAUCUUUACCUAAAAAUUGCAGAUUUACUUUUUUUUAAAAAAAAUAACAUAACUAUUUGCACUUAUACGGCUCCCCUCACCCACCCAAAACCCUACGCGCCUCCUCUUGCUCCAGGCCUCUCUUCUCUGUCUCUCUCUUCCGCUUCCAUCUCUCAUCUCUUCGCUCUCUCUCUAUUUCCUUCUCCUCGCUCUUUUAUCCUUCUUUUUCUUUGUCUCAUUUUUUUCAUUAUCAGUUCCAUCAAACUUCAAUUGAUAAGAUAAAUUGUUGAUUAGGAUAUCAGAUCUUGGGUAAAUCAAAUUGAUUCCAAAAAAUGAUAAAUACAUGAGAAAGAUGGAGGAUACGAAUCAAGAGAAGUGAAGAAGGCCGGAGUGGAGGCUUCCAAAAGUGGCUGCUCGUGUUGAUUUUAGGUGCUCAGGAUAAGCUUUUGUUUCUUUUUAUGCUUUAUCUCUCUAGAAAGUUUUGGUUGGUGACGUUGUUUGUGGUUGCAAUACUAGUUGAUUUUGCUUUUGACCCCGCAGGGGCAUUUGUUUUUUUGUCUUUGCAACUCAUUGCAACUUAUUAUGCAAUUUAAUAUAAUUUUUACAGUUUUUUUUUUUAAAAGUUACAUAUGUAGUUGCAAGUAUGGUUGCUCGUAGUUGCAGAU